AUUGAACGCUGGCGGCAUGCCUUACACAUGCAAGUCGAACGGCAGCACGGGUGCUUGCACCUGGUGGCGAGUGGCGAACGGGUGAGUAAUAUAUCGGAACGUACCUUAUUGUGGGGGAUAACGCAGCGAAAGCUGUGCUAAUACCGCAUAAUCCCUAAUGGGGAAAGCGGGGGACCGUAAGGCCUCGCGCAAUUAGAGCGGCCGAUACCUGAUUAGCUAGUUGGUGAGGUAAAGGCUCACCAAGGCAACGAUCAGUAGCUGGUCUGAGAGGACGAUCAGCCACACUGGGACUGAGACACGGCCCAGACUCCCACGGGAGGCAGCAGUGGGGAAUUUUGGACAAUGGGGGCAACCCUGAUCCAGCAAUGCCGCGUGAGUGAAGAAGGCCUUCGGGUUGUAAAGCUCUUUUGUCAGGGAAGAAACAGCAGCUCUAACACAGUUUGCGAAUGACGGUACCUGAAGAAUAAGCACCGGCUAACUACGUGCCAGCAGCCGCCGCGG
rnacentral:rRNA from 1 species